UCCCGCGUCUCCCUCCGCCCCCUCCCAGCGGCGGCGGCGGCAGCGAAGGAGUUCGGAAGUUCAAAAUGGCCGCCGCGGCCGAGCCCGAGCAGCGACCGCCCGAGGUUGAGGAUGCUGAGGCAUCGGAGAAAAGUGUGAAUGAAGAAAAUGGGGAAGUGUCAGAGGCAGACCAACCUCAGAACAAGCACAGCAGACACAAAAAAAAGAAACACAAACACCGAAGUAAACACAAGAAACACAAACAUUCUUCAGAAGAUGACAAGGACAAAAAACAUAAACACAGACACAAACAUAAGAAACAUAAAUGGAAAGAGGUGGCUGAUGCCUCUGACAAAGAAGAUGGACCAGCUAAAAGAACUAAAAUUGAUUUUUUGGCUCCUCUGGAAGACUUAGAGAAACAAAGAGCAUUGCUGAAAGCUGAACUUGAAAAUGAAUUAAUGGAAGGAAAAGUCCAGUCUGGGAUGGGAUUAAUAUUACAAGGUUAUGAGUCAGGAUCUGAAGAAGAGGGGGAGAUUAAUGAAAAAGCACGAAAUGGAACAAGACCUACAGCAAAGUCAAAUACUAAGGGGAAAUUAGAACCUGUGGACAAUAAAACUAGUUCCAAGAAAUCAAGUAAGAGUGAAUCAAAAGAAAGGACUAGGCACAGAUCUGACAAAAAGAAAUCCAAGGCAGGAGUUGAUGGAGUUAAAGAGAAGACUACUAGAAGCAAGUCAAAAGAAAGGAGGAAAUCCAAAAGUCCUUAUAAGAGGAGUAAGUCUCAAGAUCAGACAAGGAAAUCUAGGUCUCCAAUACUUAAGAGGAGAUCUCAGGAGAAAAACAGAAAGUCUAAGUCUCCUCCAGAGGAUAGAAAUAAGGCUGAUGAUAAAAGUAAAUCAAGAGACCGCAGAAAGUCUCCAGUUGUAAAUGAAAGCAAAAGCAGAGAUCGUGGUAGAAAAUCUAAAUCUCCAGCAGAACUAAGAAGCAAAUCCAAAGAUAGAAGAUCACGGUCCAAAGAUAGAAAACCUAGGAGAUCAGAGACUGACAAAGAAAAAAAGCCAAUUAAAUCUCCUUCUAAAGAUGCUUCUUCAGGGAAAGAAAACAGGUCCCCUAGACGGCCUGGCCGCAGCCCAAAGGGGAGAAGCUUGUCUCCCAAGCAGCGUGAGAAGUCCAGAAGGAGCAGAUCCCCUCUCUUCAACGACCGGAGAUCGAAACAGAGCAGGUCUCCCUCUCGAACCCGCUCUCCCGUUAGGAGGGUGAGGAGCAGAUCUGCAGAAAGAAAAAGGAGAGAAUCAGAAAGGAGGCGUCUUUCUUCUCCCAGAACACGGACCAGGGAUGACAUUUUGUCCAGGCGUGAAAGAUCCAAGGAUGUCAGCCCACCCAGCAGAUGGUCCCCAUCCAGGAGAAGAUCUCGGUCCCCCAUUAGGAGGAGGUCUCGAACGCCCCUUCGGCGCAGCCGAUCUCCCAGGAGGCGGAGCAGAUCUCCUCGGAGGAGGGAUAGAGGCCGGAGAAGUAGAUCUCGCCUUCGGAGGAGGUCCAGGUCACGUGGUGGCCAUAGACGUCGGAGCAGAAGCAAAGUUAAAGAAGACAAAUUUAAAGGUAGUCUUUCUGAGGGCAUGAAAGUUGAACAGGAGUCUUCAUCUGAUGAAAAUCUUGAAGACUUUGAUUUGGAAGAAGAGGAUGAAGAAGCAGAGAUAAGACAAAGGAGAUUACAGCGACAAGCAAUUGUUCAGAAAUACAAAGGCCAGACAGAAGACAGUAACAUAUCUGUACCAUCUGAACCGAGCAGCCCUCAGAGCAGUACGCGCAGCCGCUCCAAUUCUCCUGACGACAUCCUAGAAAGAGUCGCUGCUGAUGUUAAGGAGUAUGAACGGGAAAAUGUGGACACAUUUGAGGCAUCAGUGAAAGCCAAGCACAACCUCAUGACAGUUGAACAGAACAAUGGUUCAUCUCAGAAGAAGCUGCUAGCUCCCGAUAUGUUCACAGAAUCAGAUGAUAUGUUUGCUGCAUACUUUGAUAGUGCUCGUCUAAGGGCUGCUGGGUUUGGAAAAGACUUCAAAGAAAACCCCAAUCUCAGGGAUAACUGGACAGAUGCAGAAGGCUAUUACCGUGUUAAUAUAGGUGAAGUUCUGGAUAAACGUUACAAUGUCUAUGGUUACACCGGUCAGGGAGUCUUCAGCAACGUGGUGCGAGCCAGGGACAUGGCCAGAGCAAACCAAGAAGUAGCAGUGAAAAUCAUCAGGAACAAUGAACUUAUGCAAAAAACUGGCCUAAAAGAACUGGAAUUUUUAAAGAAGCUCAAUGAUGCUGAUCCUGAUGACAAGUUUCAUUGUCUACGGUUGUUCAGGCAUUUCUACCACAAACAACAUCUGUGUCUGGUAUUUGAGCCACUCAGUAUGAAUUUACGAGAGGUGUUGAAGAAGUACGGGAAAGAUGUUGGACUGCACAUUAAAGCUGUGCGUUCCUACAGCCAGCAAUUGUUCCUGGCUUUAAAACUUCUUAAAAGAUGCAAUAUCCUACAUGCAGAUAUUAAACCAGAUAAUAUUUUGGUGAACGAGUCUAAAACGAUACUAAAGCUUUGUGAUUUUGGCUCAGCUUCACAUGUUGCAGAUAACGACAUCACACCUUAUCUAGUUAGUAGAUUUUAUCGAGCUCCAGAAAUCAUUAUAGGAAAAAUCUAUGACUAUGGUAUAGAUAUGUGGUCUGUAGGCUGCACAUUAUAUGAGCUUUAUACAGGAAAAAUACUGUUUCCUGGCAAAACCAAUAAUCAUAUGUUGAAACUUGCCAUGGAUCUCAAAGGAAAGAUGCCAAACAAGAUGAUUCGAAAAGGUGUGUUCAAAGAUCAGCACUUUGAUCAAAAUCUCAACUUUAUGUAUAUAGAAGUAGAUAAAGUGACAGAAAGGGAGAAGGUAACUGUUAUGAGCACCAUUAAUCCAACCAAGGACCUAUUAGCAGACUUGAUUGGGUGCCAACGACUCCCUGAAGACCAGCGUAAAAAAGUGCACCAGCUGAAGGACUUGUUGGACCAGAUUCUAAUGCUAGACCCAGCUAAACGGAUUAGCAUCAACCAGGCUCUGCAGCACGCCUUCAUCCAGGAGAAAAUUUAAACCAGAUGAAGAAGUUCAAAGGGUUUGAUUAAUUAAGAUACAAAGACUGAAGAAAUUUCACAGCAGUUAUUAAUGUAUAUAAACAUAAAUAUUUCCCCUGCAAAGUUGAGGAAGAAAUGAUACAUUUGAAUUAACAUCAAGGCCGAUAUUUCUUUUAGAAAUGUUAGAGUAAUUCUGUUUUGUGUCUUAUGUGAAAAUUUUCACUGUAGAACUGUUUUAAUUGCCAAGACUGCACAAAAGUACAAUGCUAAUGUAUAUGGUUGCAGUUCGUAUAUAUUAUAAAAAGAAAAAAGCAUCUGUUAUAAAAAAAAAGAAAGAAAAAAAAAAAAAAAGAGAGAGCAGUAAUACUGGGUGGUUGAUUUGUUUUUAGCAGACUUGGCUUCAUUUUUGUCUUUACAAAAUGGCCAGCAUAAAUGCUGUUUAUAUUCACAUUUUCCUAGGUGUGUGUGUGCAGGCCACAGCAGCAUGCCCUUGGUGUAGUCAGUGCCGAAGGGGGUCUGUUCCUUCUUGAGCCUGCCCGCAGGGAUGGUCUCCUCUUUUAAAGCAGGUUGUGUACAACUUUCAGUACACUGAAGGUAAGCUAACCCAUCAACAUCACCGGUGUUUAAGCUGUUAUUUUACUGGAACAACUGACAAAUGAGAGACAAUAGCAUUGUGGCAGAAUUCCCUGCAUGUUUGAGAAAUGAUCUUGUUUUAUUUUCUGGCAUUGCAACCGUGGCAUAGUUACAACUUCUGUUCUGUUCAUCACAUUUAAAACUGGGAGAGAGCGCACUUGAUGGAUAGAGCGCCUUCAGUGUACUGUUUCUUAUUACUUUAGUUUUUUUAAUCAACUUGCUAUAGACUUUGUAUACAUUUUGUUAAAUACAGUUCACUAUGACAUAGAACCAAUACUUACAGAAGAGUUUUCAUUUAGUAAUUACAUAUGUUGGGAUCUCAUUCGAAAGACCUUAUAUCUAAAGGAUAGAUAGACAACAUAAUUUUUAACUAUUUGUAUGUCAUUUUGAAAGUGUACUGCUUUAUGCUAAAAGUGUUUCAUUUGUUCAUUGUUUUCAUUAUUUGUGAUCAUGUUGUCUUUCAAUACAGGCAUAAACCUUCCACUCUUGAACAAAGCAGCUGCUUUUUAAAAGCGAGAAAAAAGGAAAGCGAGUCACAGGCCACUCAACGCCUACUCCAUGGGUCUGAUUUGCUGAGACACCAACUUCACCUUCCUAACAAGGUGCAGCUCAAAAGAAGAUGAAGGCUACCAGAAGACAUGAACAAAGGGUAAGUGGCACUAAACAUCUGAAGAACCUUUAUGUGUAUAUUGACCCCCAUACAGAAGGCAGACCAGACUGUGAUACUGCUGGAGAUAGAGGGAUCUUCUACAGCAUGUGUAAAAUUGUAAUGUGGGUGGAGGAUGUUGAGAAGUGACAAUUGCUUGAAAUUAAUAAACUGUGCUUGAAACUUG